rnacentral:miRNA from 10 species
UUAGGCUGGUACAAAAGUAAUUUGCCAUCACUUUCAAUGGCAAAAACUGCAAUUACUUUUGUGCCAACCUAAUAG